rnacentral:rRNA from 1 species
GAUGAACGCUGGCGGCGUGCCUAAUACAUGCAAGUCGAGCGAACAGACGAGGAGCUUGCUCCUCUGACGUUAGCGGCGGACGGGUGAGUAACACGUGGAUAACCUACCUAUAAGACUGGGAUAACUUCGGGAAACCGGAGCUAAUACCGGAUAAUAUAUUGAACCGCAUGGUUCAAUAGUGAAAGACGGUUUUGCUGUCACUUAUAGAUGGAUCCGCGCCGCAUUAGCUAGUUGGUAAGGUAACGGCUUACCAAGGCAACGAUGCGUAGCCGACCUGAGAGGGUGAUCGGCCACACUGGAACUGGGACACGGUCCAGACUCCUACGGGAGGCAGCAGUAGGGAAUCUUACGCAAUGGGCGAAAGCCUGACGGAGCAACGCCGCGUGAGUGAUGAAGGUCUUCGGAUCGUAAAACUCUGUUAUUAGGGAAGAACAAAUGUGUAAGUAACUAUGCACGUCUUGACGGUACCUAAUCAGAAAGCCACGGCUAACUACGUG